GGAGGAUAUAGCUCAGUGGUAGAGCACAUGCUUAGCAUGCACGAGGUCCUGGGUUCGAUCCCCAGUACCUCCA
rnacentral:tRNA from 1 species